GGGGGAUAUUGCGCAAUGGGGGAAACCCUGACGCAGCAACGCCGCGUGAAGGAAGAAGGCCUUCGGGUCGUAAACUUUUGUCUUCUGGGACGAAUAAUGACGGUACCAGAGGAGGAAGCCACGGCUAACUACGUGCCAGCAGCCGCGGUAAUACGUAGGUGGCGAGCGUUGUCCGGAAUUACUGGGUGUAAAGGGCGUGUAGGCGGGACUGCAAGUCAGAUGUGAAAUACCGGGGCUCAACUCCGGGGCUGCAUUUGAAACUGUAGUUCUUGAGUGCAGGAGAGGAAAGCGGAAUUCCUAGUGUAGCGGUGAAAUGCGUAGAGAUUAGGAGGAACACCAGUGGCGAAGGCGGCUUUCUGGACUGUAACUGACGCUGAGGCGCGAAAGCGUGGGGAGCGAAC
rnacentral:rRNA from 1 species